CGUUUUAGGCUUUAAUAGUAAUAUAGUUAAUACUAUAAUUAAAAGAUAAAGUUCGGAAUUGCAUGGCUGUCGUCAGUUCGUGCUGUGAAGUUUAGGAUUAAGUUUUUCUUAACGAAUGUAACCCUAUAAAUAAGUUUUUAAUUUUGAAUAAAUAAAUUUCUAAAUUAUUCUUAUUUAAUCUAUAAUCAAUUUUAAGAAAAUCUUUUUUUUUAUAAUUGAUUAUAGGGGUUUUAGGCUGAAGUCAAGUCCCUAUGGUCUUUAUACGUUGGGCUACACACGUGUUACAAGGAUAAAAACAAAGAGACGCAAUAGAGUAAUCUGGAGCAAAUCUCUAAAAAUUAUCUUAGUUCAGAUUGUUUUAUGAAAUUCUAAAACAUGAAGAUGAAAUCGUUAGUAAUUGUAAAUUAUAAUGUUACAGUGAAAUAAUUGUCAAAUUUUGCACACACCGCC
rnacentral:rRNA from 1 species